AACAAGCCAGUGAGGAAAUUUUG
rnacentral:piRNA from 1 species